CUCCAUUGCGAGUGGGUCUCCAUUGUGGGUAGAGGGAAAUCUUUACAGUGUCCUAUUACGGCGUUGUGAGGGGGAAGUGAGAAAGAAGCAUAUGUACAUCGUCAUAAAACCCUCCUGUUUCUGUCUCACUGAUUCAUUUGAUAUUUGAACUUGAUCAGUCACUGUACUGCAUGGAAUUAAGUCUCUGUCAUUUGAACACAUUUUAAAGACUUAAGCCAUUCAAGUGUGAGCGAUGCAAGGACCAGAACUGGUUGACUCGAGGAGUCGUUUUCGAUUUAUUGAAUCCUGUCUCGGCUUGAUGGGCUGUUUGUGCAUCAGCUAUGCGAUCUGGACACCUUGGUGGCUGGAUGAGCAGGGUCUGUGGACCUCAGGGAAUCAGACCAGACUGGACGACAGCUGGACUACUGAAGACAUUACUAAAGCUCUGGAGGCUGAGAGAGUGUUUGCAGUGGUGGCUUUCCUCAUGUCGGUGAGCUCUGGACUGCUGUGUCUCAUGUUCGCUCUCUGUUGGAGGUCUCAAACUGUGCAUUCCUACUCGAACACUCGCUCGCUGCUGAUGGCAGGCCAGGCACUUGACCCGAGCACUCUGCUGCUGCUUACACUAGUACCUUCAGGAUUUUUCUUUUUUCUCAGCUGGGCGCUUUUUACCCAUCAACAUAUUGGUGAGAUCAGGGAUGACGUCAGUCGACUCGGCCUGUCCUAUUGGCUGGGAGUGGUGGGUUGGGCUUCGCUAUUGGCCGUGCUGCCUGUGGUCUUCCUGGCGGAGAAGUUUGUGGUUCCUGACAUCCUGCCGGAGUUAAAAAAGACUGCAGAAAUGUGGUGGAAGGCUCCCGAGGUUGCACACGCGCGAUCGUUUAGUGAGGGUUUCUAUCAUUCACAGCAUAAGUCUCAUCCUGACGUUAGGAGGUAUUUGUCAGUGCCUUGAACGAGAGGAAGGAGGUAGCAAGAAAAUACAAAAGAGAAGAGACUCUUGUCUCGCUGGUAUUCUAGCCAACUAUAUGAGCUGAGCAAAUGUCUCACAACAGGGGUUGAUGACCUGCAUGAGAAACCUGUAACUGCUUUCUGGGAUGUGGGACACAAAGCUACAGGUUAUAAGGUUGUGCGCUGGCCUUGACAGUGGUAUCACAGCUGUAUUUGGACGAGGACACCCAAAAAUGUGGUUAAUGGUAUACCAGAGUUCACUAUCUGUGUGAGACAUAAAGCUGAAAGGAUCUUGAUGUUGCAGACUAUUUCUCCAUAACUUUUUAUAGCCGUUGUCUGCAAUUGUACAGUGACUUCAGGGAGGUCUUUUUUUUAAAUGCAUUUUAAAUAUGCUGAAUUAUUGACUAUAAAUGUAAAUAAUUUUCAUGGCAUAAAUCUGUUG
ensembl:lncRNA